GAAUCAGUGGUCUAGUGGUAGAAUAGUACCCUGCCACGGUACAGACCCGGGUUCGAUUCCUGGGCUGGCACUCA
rnacentral:tRNA from 1 species